GGAUUGACUUCUAAAGACUCUUGGUAUGUGAGGAAGAAACCUGGAAGAGGAAGAGGAAAGCAAAGGAGUCAGGGAUGGCUCUUCCUCAGGGUCUAUUGACAUUCAGGGAUGUGGCCAUAGAAUUCUCUCAGGAGGAGUGGAAAUGCCUGGACCCUGCUCAGAGGACUCUAUACAGGGACGUGAUGCUGGAGAAUUAUAGGAACCUGGUCUCCCUGGAGUUGUCAGGGGAGUGUCCAUUGGCAGCACCUGCCUCCUGAGUGUCUCCCAGGCCAUCACCAUCAGCCCCAGGAGCUCAGGUGGGCAGAGCUUAAAGGGAACGCCCCCAAGCACGCUGGCUCCUGUGUGUUCCUCAGCUGGCUCCUCCCUGGUCAAUAUCAUUGUUCUCAUGCACGUGACCGGCAAGUGGAGCAACAAAAAUACCACGAAGACAAAAGAUCUGGGAUACUGUUCUGCUGCUGAUCACGAGGGCACCAGAGAGUCGCUGACGCGGCACUGCUGUCCUUCCCUGAUGUGAUCUGCCUGGGGCUCAUGCUCUGGGGCAGCAGCUCCAUCGUUUGCAUCCUGCACAGGCACAAGCGGCGGGUCCAGCACAUUCAUAGGACCAGCGUGUCCCCCACAUCCUCCCCUGAGUCCGGAGCUACCAAAACCAUCCUCCUGGAGCAGGAAAGGACAAGGAGUCCCCGAAGCUGACACUGAGUUCAUGGGGUUGAGCUGACAGCGGCCAACAGGCUGUGAUGGGAUCUCACUCUGUCGGCCAGGCUGGAAUGCAAUGGUGCCAACUUGGCUCAGUGCAACCUCCCCACCCCGGGCUCCAACAAUCCUCCCAUCUCAGCCUCUGAAGUAGCUGGGACUACAGGCGUUAUCUCCUGUCCGGGGAAGAGGUGGGCCUCUCUCCGUCGUGGGAGGAGCUCUGAACUUCUCCUUCAUCCAGGGAUGGGCCCCAGGGACCCACCAGUGGGGCUGGGAGAAGCCCCCCUCAGCAGGAAGACAGAGGUGCCUGGGUGGCCGAGGCCUGGAAGGUCUGCACCAUGGUGCACAGAGGCCCCGGAGCUGGGUGAGGCCAGAAAGCUGCUCUGGGGUCAGCGGGGAAUGUGCCUGCUGAAUCUGUACCUGAGCUACGUCUUCACAAAUGGCCUCAGACCUAGAGUGCAGGGAGAUCCCCUGGCUUUUCUGAAGUGGUGGCAGGUGGUCUCCUGGGUAGCAGGAUCUGGGCUGCUUACUUCCCUUACCCAGUGAGGGCCCGCGGGGAGCUCUUAAGUUGGGCAUCAUGGGGCUGCGUGAUGUGGCUGCUGUGCCCACAUCAGAGGGUUUUUGUUUCUUUUCCAAAGUCAAGCUGCACUAAUCUAGACCAGGGAUCCCCACCCCUGGGCUGCAGACCGGUCCCCAUGGGUGGCCUGUUAGGAACUGGACCGCACAGCAGGAGGUGAGCAGUGGGUGAGUGCGCGUGACCACCUGAGCUCUGCCUUCUGUGAGAUCAGCAGCGCCACUGCAUCUCAGAGGAAUGCCAACCCUACUGUGAACUGUGCAUGCGAGGGAUCUGGGUUGCAUGCUCUUUAUGAGAUCAAACUAAUGCCUGAUGAUCUCAGGUGGAACAGUUUAAUCCUGAAACCAUCCCCCCAUCUGUGGAAAAACUGCCUUCCACUAAACCAGUCCCUGGUGCCAAAAACACUGGGAACCGCUAAUCUAGACAGUUCUCUGCUAAGGAAGCACGUGGUUGAGAAGCAUCAGAAUCGUUCCCACGGACCAUGCUCCGGAGUCUCAGCAGGCUCCUGCAGUGUGUUUAUCCGUGCAUCAUGAAGGACCCUCAUACGGCUGACGUGCCUUGGCUGAUGCGAAUAACACUGCAGCAAGCGUGGCAGUGCAGAUAGCUCUUGGAAAUACCCAUUUCCUUCAGACGCAUACUCAGAGGUAGGAUUGCUGGAUUGUUUGGUCAUUUUGAUUUUUAAAAUUAAAAAGAAUUUUAAUUCUCAUAUUGUUUUGAGUAAAAUUAAAUUAUAACUUGUAAGGCAA
rnacentral:lncRNA from 1 species